rnacentral:rRNA from 1 species
CUAUUGAGUGAGUGAGUAUACAGACUACCGAAACAUCCGGAUCUUACUGAAGUUUGAUUGGCCGUGUAACGGGUUGUUUUAUAAAAUUUUGUAAGUAGUGAUAAAUUAGUCGGCGGGUGUUAUAUCUGUUUAGGGAAUUUUUUUUUUAUUUUUAAAAUGUUGGCGAAGAGGUCAAUAUUUUUUCUAUGCUAUUGUAAUUUUGUUUCUUAUACUAGGGUUAGGGUUACCCCUGUAUCAUAAUAUUGUUACUAAUUUUAUAGUUUAGUUUAAUAGCUAGGUGGGUCUUUCCCUUUACUAAAUUUUAUGAGGGUAUUUAUGAAUUAAUAAGUAAUAAUAUUAGAUAUAUUUUAUCUCAGCUCCAGUCUGACUGUUUAUUAAAAACAUUUUCACACGUCUAUAUUGUGUGGUAAGACCUGCCCGGUGUUUAAUUAACGGCCGCAGUAUUUUGACUGUGCAAAGGUAGCAUAAUUAAUUGCCUCAUAAUUGGGGGCUUGUUUGAAAGGUUUAACAUGAUUGUGGGAAGAAAUUAUAUUUUUUGUUGAAAUUGAUCCGGAGAGUACAGAAUCUUCUGCUUGCUAGUAAGACGGAAAGACCCCGGGAUCUUUUAAUUUUGUCUGGGGCAGAUUGUGGUGUUUUACCACAUUUACGACCCUCAGUUUAAAGGUUUAAGUUACCCCGGGGAUAACAGGGUAAUAGUUUAUGAGAGUUCAUAUCGAGUAAGUUGUUUGCUACCUCGAUGUUGACUUGGGUUAACCUAAUGGCGCAGCCGUUUUUGGGUUGGUCUGUUCGACCAUAGAUACCUUCA